rnacentral:lncRNA from 1 species
AGAGUAUUGGGUUCCAGCCCUUAACCUCCUUUAAGAUUCAGGAGUGCAGCCCUGCUGCUUCCUUCCUUUCCUAGACGCAGGGGUCCCCACCCAGGAUGCCCUCCUCCUCAGGACCCAGGAGUCCCAGAUAGCAGGUCCCUCCCCCCCCCACCCGGGAUAGAGGAGUUGAGGCCCUCAGCCCCUGUCUCUCACACCAGGGUUCUGGGUCCCCGGCUUCCUCCUCCCUCAGAAUAAGGUGUCCGGGUCUGCAGCCCUUGCCUCUGCAGCCCCUGGGCUCCAGAAGUUAUGACCCAAGCCUACUCCUAUCCCACCUCCGUCGGGCCCUUUCCCUGCUGAACUCACUCACAGGGACAGCCUCCUGACCUCCACUCUGAGCCUGCCCUCUGUGGGGCCCCUGCCCUCCCCCACCUCCAUCCAGGUCCCCAUCCCGGCCUUGGCAAUGACCCUGGCAGCUUCCUCCCAGCGUUCCCAAUUCAUUCGCUCCAAGUUCCGAUCUGUCCUCCAGCUUCGGAUCCACAGACGGAAUCAGGAGCAGAGUAAGUGUGGGCCCUUAAAGGGAGGGGAUGGUGAUCCCCCUUCACAGGGGUAUCCUGGAAUACAGCUGCCACAUAUCCCUCAUUGGUUACUGCAGCUCAGUCUCUAUCCUCCAGGAGAAACCAAAACCCCGUCCAGUCCUUUCCCAAAGAUCCAGGGGGCCAGGUCCCUGGCCACCCCCACCCCUAGGAGUUCUGCUUCCCGAUUCUCUACCCCAGUGAGACGCAUGAGUUUGGAUCCUGCUUCCUUAGAGAAGACAGGCAUCCCAGUCUCCACAUUUGGUAUACAUGAGAAGCUGAGAUGGAGUCUCACUCUGUCACCAGGCUGGAGUACAGUGGCUUGAUCUCAGCGCACUGCAACCUCCACUUCUCAGGUUCAAGUGAUUAUCCUGCCUCAGCCUCCUCCUGAGGAGCUGGGAUUACAGGCGCCUGCCACCACACCUGGCUAAUUUUCAUAUUUUUAGUAGAGACGGGUUUUCACCAUGUUGGCCAGACUGGUCUUGAACUCCUGACCACAAGUGAUUCACCCGCCUCAGACUCCCAAAGUGCUGGGAUUACAGGCAUGAGCCACCGUGCCCAGCCUGGAUGUAGCUUUCAGCUUCUCUCUCCAAUAACCAGGCAUGCAGGCCCCACCCCUGUCCUAGCAAAACCUCAGACAUCUGGGAUCCUCAGCUACCACAACCCUUUGCGAUAGAAAAUUCCUGCUUUACUUCAGAAUGUAACAACCAGGGCCCCUACACCUCCACCCUCACAUCUAGCAGUCUCGGCGCCCAACUCCCGGCACUCAGGUCUUGCUCCCUGGCCUGCCUCUCCUGCACCCCGGGGCCCCGCUUUCCACACAGCCCUGCUCCUCCCGGCCUGGCUGGCUGCCUGCGGGCCUCUCAGAGUCCUUCACCCGUCUCUCCAGUCUCGGAUCCUGACCCGUGGAUCUCAGCCUCCAGCCCUGCUCUAGCCCCGGCCUUGCCCUCGGGCACGGCCCCUUUCCUCUUCAGCCCUGGGGUCCUGCUCCCUGAGCCCGAAUCCUGUCCUCCUUGGAGAUCCCCGAAGAAGGUGAGUCUGGACUGGAGGGAGAGGUCCCUCUGUUCCGCUUGCUACUGCUGCCAUUUUUGCUCUUCUCUGGGGGCACGUAGCCCCGGGGGUGCGGGUUGGGGGGGGAGAGGCAGGAAGGCCGGAGCCUGAGGCCCAGCACAUGAUACCUGCUCUUUCAGGAGUCUCCCAAGACCUCCCAGCUGUGGAGGGAGUCCAAGCCCAGGGGGAACUUGACAUACCACCAGUACAUGCCCCCAGAGCCCAGACAGAGAGCCAGGGCUGGCCCCCAAGCUGAGGGGUCCACCCUAGGUCCUCCGGGGCCACCUCUGUGGGAAGGGACAGACUCACAGCAGCCACAUCCUAGGUAUGACACCCAUUUCCCUUCUCCCGGGACCCAGAAAUCNNNNNNNNNNNNNNNNNNNNNNNNNGUUGUUAGCAGCAAAAUGUUUUAAAAUUUAGGUUUCAGGGCUGGGCACCAUGGUUCAUACCUGCAGUCCCAGCUACUCUGGAGGCGGAGAUAGGAGGAUCACUUGAGCCUGGGGGUUUGAGGUUGCAGUGAGCUAUGAUUGCACCAUUGCACUCCAGCCUGGGCAACAAGCGAGAUCCUUAAAAAAAA